GUUAUCCGGAAUUAUUGGGCGUAAAGAGCUCGUAGGCGGUUUGUCGCGUCUGUCGUGAAAGUCCGGGGCUUAACCCCGGAUCUGCGGUGGGUACGGGCAGACUAGAGUGCAGUAGGGGAGACUGGAAUUCCUGGUGUAGCGGUGGAAUGCGCAGAUAUCAGGAGGAACACCGAUGGCGAAGGCAGGUCUCUGGGCUGUAACUGACGCUGAGGAGCGAAAGCAUGGGGAGCGAACAGGAUUAGAUACCCUGGUAGUCCAUGCCGUAAACGUUGGGCACUAGGUGUGGGGACCAUUCCACGGUUUCCGCGCCGCAGCUAACGCAUUAAGUGCCCCGCCUGGGGAGUACGGCCGCAAGGCUAAAACUCAAAGGAAUUGACGGGGGCCCGCACAAGCGGCGGAGCAUGCGGAUUAAUUCGAUGCAACGCGAAGAACCUUACCAAGGCUUGACAUGUUCUCGAUCGCCGUAGAGAUACGGUUUCCCCUUUGGGGCGGGUUCACAGGUGGUGCAUGGUUGUCGUCAGCUCGUGUCGUGAGAUGUUGGGUUAAGUCCCGCAACGAGCGCAACCCUCGUUCCAUGUUGCCAGCACGUAAUGGUGGGGACUCAUGGGAGACUGCCGGGGUCAACUCGGAGGAAGGUGAGGACGACGUCAAAUCAUCAUGCCCCUUAUGUCUUGGGCUUCACGCAUGCUACAAUGGCCGGUACAAUGGGUUGCGAUACUGUGAGGUGGAGCUAAUCCCAAAAAGCCGGUCUCAGUUCGGAUUGGGGUCUGCAACUCGACCCCAUGAAGUCGGAGUCGCUAGUAAUCGCAGAUCAGCAACGCUGCGGUGAAUACGUUCCCGGGCCUUGUACACACCGCCCGUCAAGUCACGAAAGUCGGUAACACCCGAAGCCGGUGGCCUAACCCUUGUGGGGGGAGCCGUCGAAGGUGGGACCAGCGAUUGGGACUAAGUCGUAACAAGGUAGCCGUACCGGAAGGUGCGGCUGGAUCACCUCCUU
rnacentral:rRNA from 1 species